rnacentral:miRNA from 1 species
UGGUGCAAAAGUAAUUGCGGUUUUUGCCAUUAAAAGUAAUGGCAAACUGCAAUUACUAUUGC